UACGUAGGGGGCAAGCGUUGUCCGGAUUUAUUGGGCGUAAAGAGCGUGUAGGCGGUUAGGUAGGUCCGUUGUGAAAACUCGAGGCUCAACCUCGAGACGCCGAUGGAAACCAUCUGACUAGAGUCCGGAAGAGGAGAGUGGAAUUCCUGGUGUAGCGGUGAAAUGCGCAAAUAUCAGGAAGAACACCCGUCGCUAAGGCGGCUCUCUAGUACGUGACUGACGCUGAGACGCGAAAGCGUGGGGAGCGAACAGG
rnacentral:rRNA from 1 species